UAUGGCUAUAUCAUGUUGAAACACUGGUUCUCGUAUGCUCACUUAAGUUAAGCAACAUUAAGCUUGGUCAGUACCUUGAUGGGUGACUUCUUGGGAAUAGCAAGU